rnacentral:rRNA from 1 species
AAUCAACGCUGGCGGCGUGCCUCAGACAUGCAAGUUGAACGAUUAAAGCUCUCUUCGGAGAGUGCAUAAAGUGGCGCACGGGUGAGUAACACGUAAGUAAUCUACCCUCGAGUGGGGAAUAACGUCCGGAAACGGACGCUAAUACCGCAUAACGCAGCGGCACCGCAAGGUGACAGUUGUUAAAGGAGAAAUCCGCUUGAGGAGGAGCUUGCGGCAGAUUAGCUUGNGGUAAGGUAACGGCUUACCAAGGCUACGAUCUGUAACCGGUCUAAGAGGACGGUCGGUCACACUGACACUGAAUACGGGUCAGACUCCUACGGGAGGCAGCAGUCGGGAAUUUUGGGCAAUGGGGGAAACCCUGACCCAGCAACGCCGCGUGAAGGAUGAAGUAUUUCGGUAUGUAAACUUCGAAAGAAUAGGAAGAAUAAAUGACGGUACUAUUUAUAAGGUCCGGCUAACUACGUGCCAGCAGCCGCCGU